rnacentral:rRNA from 1 species
GACAGAGGGUGCAAACGUGUUCGGAAUUACUGGGCGUAAAGCGCGUGUAGGCGGCCAUCUAAGUCGGGCGUGAAAUCCCACGGCUCAACCGUGGAAGUGCACUCGAAACUGGAUGGCUAGAGUCCUGGAGAGGAAGGUGGAAUGCUUGGUGUAGAGGUGAAAUUCGUAGAUAUCAAGCGGAACACCGGUGGCGAAGGCGGCCUUCUGGACAGUGACUGACGCUGAGACGCGAAAGCGUGGGGAGCAACAGGG